GAUGAAGAACGUAGCGAAAUGCGAUAAGUAAUGUGAAUUGCAGAAUUCAGUGAAUCAUCGAAUCUUUGAACGCACCUUGCACUCCUUGGUAUUCCGAGGAGUACGCCUGUUCGAGUGUUAUGAAGCUCUCAAAACGCAAUUGGCUUAAAACCUGAUUGUUGUUUUGGAUUUGAACUUUGCCGUGUUAUAACGGCUGGUUUUAAAAGUAUUAGCUGGUACUAGAACGAAUUGGUUCUACUCAACGUGAUAAUUAUCUGAUCGUUGAGGACAUUCCUUUCACGAGGAAUGGCCAUAGUAAAUUCAUUGGACUGCUUCUAAUCUGGCUUUAAUUCUUUAUUGGAUUAACCACUUUUCAAAUCUGACCUCGAAUCAGGUGGGACUACCCGCUGAACUUAAGCAUAUCAAUAAGCGGAGGA
rnacentral:misc_RNA from 1 species